rnacentral:rRNA from 1 species
UACGUAGGGUGCAAGCGUUGUCCGGAAUUAUUGGGCGUAAAGAGCUCGUAGGCGGUUUGUCGCGUCUGCUGUGAAAAUCCAGGGCUUAACCCUGGACCUGCAGUGGGUACGGGCAGACUAGAGUGCGGUAGGGGUGACUGGAAUUCCUGGUGUAGCGGUGGAAUGCGCAGAUAUCAGGAAGAACACCCAUGGCGGAAGGCAGC